rnacentral:rRNA from 1 species
GUGGGGAAUAUUGGACAAUGGGCGCAAGCCUGAUCCAGCCAUGCCGCGUGAGUGAUGAAGGCCUUCGGGUUGUAAAGCUCUUUAGUCCACGAAUAUAAUGACUGUAGUGGAAGAAUAAGCCCCGGCUAACUUCGUGCCAGCAGCCGCGGUAAUACGAAGGGGGCGAGCGUUAUUCGGAAUCACUGGGCGUAAAGCGUGCGUAGGCUGUUUUGUAAGUCAGAAGUGAAAGCCCAGGGCUUAACCCUGGAAGUGCUUUUGAAACUACAAGACUCGAAUUCGGGAGAGGAUAGCGGAAUUGUCAGUGUAGCAGUGAAAUGCGUAGAUAUUGACAGGAACACCAGUGGCGCAAGCGGCUAUCUGGACCGAUAUUGACGCUGAGGCACGAAAGCGUGGGGAGCAAACAGGAUUAGAAACCCUAGUAGUCC